CACGUAGGCACCAAGCGUUGUCCGGAUUUAUUGGGCGUAAAGAGCUCGUAGGCGGCUUGUCGCGUCGGCUGUGAAAACCUGGGGCUCAACCCCGGGCCUGCAGCCGAUACGGGCAAGCUAGAAUUCGGUAGGGGAGACUGGAAUUCCUGGUGUAGCGGUGAAAUGCGCAGAUAUCAGGAGGAACACCGGUGGCGAAGGCGGCUUGCCAGAAUGCGCUCGACGGUGAGGGAUGAAAGCUGGGGGGAGCAAACCGG
rnacentral:rRNA from 1 species